rnacentral:tRNA from 1 species
CGGGGCGUGGCGCAGCUUGGUAGCGCACCUGCUUUGGGAGCAGGGGGUCGCGGGUUCGAAUCUCGCCGCCCCGACCA